AUCUACUUGGAAGCAAGACUUAUGGCAUUCUCUGGGACUUCUUCCCAGAAAAUGUGUGUGGGACUGAUUCCUUAGAGCACCUUAAAGGAGUUGCUGUCAUCCACAUACAUGACACACCUUGAAGAAGAUGGAUUUGUGAACAAAAGCUUAAUCUCAUAUCAGAAAAAUGUGCCACAGCUCUGUCAGAGUUCAGCCAGACCCUAGACAGAAACCAGCAUCAUGACCACACAGGAGAAACUAGCUGUUACAGUGGAGCCAACAUCACAAGAGGACUCCCUGCCACUUGCAUGGCCUUGCAAUGGUGUCUCAGUCUUCAUCACCAUCUUGACUUCGAUCAGACACAGCUGCAGAAGAUGCAACAAACCAGGAAUGGGUCCCUUUUCCUGGAGGGCCAUCCCGUCUGAUUCUGAGAAUCAGAGAGGAAGAAUCAAAAGAACCAGAAGGAUGGGUGUCGAGAAGCUGAUCUUGAAGUUGUUCGAACGGCAAACACUCAGAUGAUCGGAUGACUGUUUUCCCCAACCAAGUGAGAUGAAUUCUCUUUAAAUGACAGACGUGAUUUCUAGCUUUGUGCCUAGACACGUCAAUAAUCAGC